GUGAGUAACCUGCCCCGGACUCUGGAAUAAGCGCUGGAAACGGCGUCUAAUACCGGAUACGAGACGCAACCGCAUGGUUAGUGUCUGGAAAGUUUUUCGGUCUGGGAUGGACUCGCGGCCUAUCAGCUUGUUGGUGAGGUAAUGGCUCACCAAGGCGACGACGGGUAGCCGGCCUGAGAGGGCGACCGGCCACACUGGGACUGAGACACGGCCCAGACUCCUACGGGAGGCAGCAGUGGGGAAUAUUGCACAAUGGGCGAAAGCCUGAUGCAGCGACGCCGCGUGAGGGAUGACGGCCUUCGGGUUGUAAACCUCUUUCAGCAGGGAAGAAGCGAAAGUGACGGUACCUGCAGAAGAAGCACCGGCUAACUACGUGCCAGCAGCCGCGGUAAUACGUAGGGUGCGAGCGUUGUCCGGAAUUAUUGGGCGUAAAGAGCUUGUAGGCGGUUUGUCGCGUCUGCUGUGAAAAUCCGGGGCUCAACCCCGGACUUGCAGUGGGUACGGGCAGACUAGAGUGUGGUAGGGGAGACUGGAAUUCCUGGUGUAGCGGUGAAAUGCGCAGAUAUCAGGAGGAACACCGAUGGCGAAGGCAGGUCUCUGGGCCACUACUGACGCUGAGAAGCGAAAGCAUGGGGAG
rnacentral:rRNA from 1 species